CAGCCGCCGCGGGAAUACGUAGGUGGCAAGCGUUGUCCGGAAUUAUUGGGCGUAAAGGGCUCGCAGGCGGUUUCUUAAGUCUGAUGUGAAAGCCCCCGGCUCAACCGGGGAGGGUCAUUGGAAACUGGGAAACUUGAGUGCAGAAGAGGAGAGUGGAAUUCCACGUGUAGCGGUGAAAUGCGUAGAGAUGUGGAGGAACACCAGUGGCGAAGGCGACUCUCUGGUCUGUAACUGACGCUGAGGAGCGAAAGCGUGGGGAGCGAACAGGAUUAGAACCCCCGUAGUCCCUGUCUCUUAUACA
rnacentral:rRNA from 1 species